AAAGAUUCUUGAUACAGUGAUCAGAAAUGUAGUUUUCCCAGGAUGGAGCUCAUUCAUUAUACUCAGGAUAUGCUAAUCCCUGCAAUUUCUCCAGAUGCAGGAAACUCAGUUGCAUAAUUUGUGGUAGUAGAGGACUGAGUUUGUACUCUUUUUUU
rnacentral:snRNA from 1 species